CAAGUUAUAGCAUAUAUUAUAAUGCCUUUUAUUUACACUAAAAAGAUAAUACCUUUUAUUUAACUUGA
rnacentral:tRNA from 1 species